UACUUAAGUAGCUUAAUUUAGAGCAUAGCAGUGAAGAUGCUAAGGUAAUAUCUAUAUUCUUGAGUA
rnacentral:tRNA from 1 species